GACCGUGUCUAGGAACAUAUAUAUAGGUCUAACACAUUUGAUAAGGCUUUCUGGGACAUUCUAGGCCUUUCCAGGGGUAGUUUUAUGACCCUGGUGGUAGUUCGACAAGGCUUUGGUGGAGGUUGUUGUGUUAGUAUGUCCAUGGGUAGUGUUAUGAGCCUGGUGAUAGUUUGACAAGGCUUUGGUGGAGGUUGUUGUGUUAGUAUUGCCAUGGGUAGUGUUAUGAGCCUGGUGAUAGUUUGACAAGGCUUUGGUGGAGGUUGUUGUGUUAGUAUGUCCAUGGGUAGUGUUAUGAGCCUGGUGAUAGUUUGACAAGGCUUUGGUGGAGGUUGUUGUGUUAGUAUGUCCAUGGGUAGUGUUAUGAGCCUGGUGAUAGUUCGACAAGGCUUUGGUAGAGGUUGUGUUAGUAUUGCCAUGGGUAGUGUUAUGAACCUGGUGGUAGUUUGACAAGGCUUUGGUGGAGGUUGUGUUAGUAUGUCCCUGGGUAGCGUUAUGAGCCUGGUGAUAGUUUGACAAGGCUUUGGUGGAGGUUGUUGUGUUAGUAUGUCCAUGGGUAGUGUUAUGAGCCUGGUGAUAGUUUGACAAGGCUUUGGUGGAGGUUGUUGUGUUAGUAUGUCCAUGGGUAGUGUUAUGAGCCUGGUGAUAGUUUGACAAGGCUUUGGUGGAGGUUGUUGUGUUAGUAUUUCCAUGGGUAGUGUUAUGAGCCUGGUGAUAGUUUGACAAGGCUUUGGUGGAGGUUGUUGUGUUAGUAUGUCCAUGGGUAGUGUUAUGAGCCUGGUGAUAGUUUGACAAGGCUUUGGUAGAGGUUGUUGUGUUAGUAUGUCCAUGGGUAGUGUUAUGAGCCUGGUGAUAGUUUGACAAGGCUUUGGUGGAGGUUGUUGUGUUAGUAUUUCCAUGGGUAGUGUUAUGAGCCUGGUGAUAGUUUGACAAGGCUUUGGUGGAGGUUGUUGUGUUAGUAUGUCCAUGGGUAGUGUUAUGAGCCUGGUGAUAGUUUGACAAGGCUUUGGUGGAGGUUGUUGUGUUAGUAUUUCCAUGGGUAGUGUUAUGAGCCUGGUGAUAGUUUGACAAGGCUUUGGUGGAGGUUGUUGUGUUAGUAUGUCCAUGGGUAGUGUUAUGAGCCUGGUGAUAGUUUGACAAGGCUUUGGUGGAGGUUGUGUUAGUAUGUCCAUGGGUAGUGUUAUGAGCCUGGUGAUAGUUUGACAAGGCUUUGGUAGAGGUUGUGUUAGUAUGUCCAUGGGUAGUGUUAUGAGCCUGGUGAUAGUUUGACAAGGCUUUGGUGGAGGUUGUUGUGUUAGUGUGUCCAUGGGUAGUGUUAUGAGCCUGGUGAUAGUUUGACAAGGCUUUGGUAGAGGUUGUGUUAGUAUGUCCAUGGAUAGUGUUAUGAGCCUGAUGAUAGUUUGACAAGACCUCAUCACUCUGAACACGAAAAACACUUCUGUAAUCUUUAGACAGGUGUUAAGGGUGCCGGAAGGGAGCGGCUGAGAAUUCGGGGUCAGUGUGCUUCUGUGUGUCUGUGUGAGGUGACGUGGGUGUCUGCCCGAGGUUAGAACACGUAAAAAACUUGUCAUACGAAUCAUCAAAAAGACGCCAUUGAAUCCAUAGUGGAAUGUAAGGUAAGGAAGGAAGGAAGGAAGGAAGGAAGGAAGGAAGGAAGGAAGGAAGGAAAAGGAGAAUUAAUAUAUGGAGGAGAAAGGAAGGAAUGGAAGGGAUAGAAUUAGACUGAGGAGGAGAGAGAGAGAGAGAGAGA